GUGGGAACUAACUAGUGACUUGAAGCAGCUGGAUAACAAAAUCUCUAGAAAAGAAAGUUUGCAUUUUAUUUAGUGGGUUUGCUGUUUUAUAGGAAUUUUCUUUUUGAGUUCCUUCUCUUAACAUGUAUAUUUUCACAGUUACCACCAAUAUCAAUUGGAGAAAACGUGCUGGACCUGGUGGCUAUUGGUUGUGGUCCAGCUGGUCUUGCUCUUGCUGCGGAGUCUGCUAAGCUGGGUUUAAAUGUUGGACUAAUUGGACCUGAUCUUCCUUUCACCAACAAUUAUGGAGUCUGGGAAGAUGAGUUUAAAGAUCUUGGACUUGAAAGAUGUAUUGAUAAUGUUUGGCGUGAUGCUAUUGUAUACCUUGAUGAUGAUAAGCCUAUUAUGAUUGGCCGUGCUUAUGGACGUGUUAGUCGACGCUUGCUCAUGAGGAGUUGUUGAGGAGGUGUGUCGAGUCAGGUGUAAUGUAUCUUAACUCAAAGGUAGAGACAAUUAUUGAAGCUACCGAUGGUCAUAAUCUCGUAGCUUGUGGACACAAUCGUGUUGUUCCUUGCAGGCUUGUUACUGUUGCUUCAGGAGCAGCUUCAGGUAAACUGUUGCAGUAUGAGGUAGGGGGUCCAAGAAUCUCCGUUCAAACAGCUUAUGGCAUCGAGGUUGAGCUAUGUAUGGUGUGGAAACUUCAAUUGUUAACAAUCAUAUAUCUUUGCCUUUGUUAUUUUUAUCUUAUUGCAGCAUGACCAAAAAAUUGCAGUUUAAGAGGGCGAUGGGAGAAAAA